rnacentral:rRNA from 1 species
UACGAGGGGGGCAAGCGUUGUUCGGAAUUAUUGGGCGUAAAGGGCGCGUAGGCGGUGCGGUAAGUCUGAUGUGAAAUCUCCGGGCUCAACUCGGAGUCUGCAUCAGAAACUGCCGUGCUUGAGUGUGGGAGAGGUGAGUGGAAUUCCCGGUGUAGCGGUGAAAUGACGUAGAGAUCGGGAGGAACGACCAGUGGCCGAAGG